AGGAGAGGCAGAGAGAGAGGGAAAGAGAGAGGAAGAUGGACAGGAACAAGGAGAGGAAGAGGGAGAGGGAGAGAGAAAGGGAGAGGGAAAAGGAAAGAAUUGUUCGGACAUGAACUUGUUACAUAGCCAAGGAUAGCCCUGAAUGUCUGAUCAUCUGACCUCCACCUUCCAAGUUCUGGUGUUGCAUGCACCACUAGGCACUACCAGGUUGAUGUAGUUCUGGGAUUUGACCUCAGAAUUCCUAUUUGGCAGGUGUUGCAGUCUGAAUGAAAAUGUCCCCAUAAACUCAUAGGGAAUGGUAUUAUUGGAGGUGUGGCCUUGUUGGAAUAAAUGUGUCACUGAUACUUUGAAGUUUCAGAAGCUCAAGCUUCUUGCUGUUGAUGAUGAUCCAUAUGUAGAACCUUCUACUCCUUCUGCAGCACCAGGUCUUCCUGAAUGACACUGUGCUCUCCAUCAAGAAGAUAAAUGAACUAAACUUCUGAACUGUAGUGUGGUGAUCCUCAUCUCUGGGAAGUCCCAAUGUUUAUGGUUUUCUUGAAUUUUGAUGUCCCAUUCAAGACUGAACACUCAUCUCUUAAUCUCAACCUUUUGACGAAUUAUGCGUCUUUUCAUUGACUAUUGCCCAUUGAAAAAAGAAGUCUCUCUGGCUAAUGUUGAAAACAUUCUAGGUGUGGGUACAAGCAUAGAUAUUAUUUAGAAGAAAGAAAUGUGCUUUUAACAUGUAAAAUAAAAUAGGUUCCAACUACUGUGCAAAAUGUUUACUUGUUUCAAACCACCCUUAUCAAACUGCA
rnacentral:lncRNA from 1 species